rnacentral:misc_RNA from 1 species
GUGAACGCCCUCACGGGCUUAUACCAUUCCAAACCUCUGCGAACCGUGCCCUUCGGGGCUAUUUUACAAACAUGGUGUAAUGAACGUCAUAUAUCAUAACAAAACA